rnacentral:rRNA from 1 species
UACGUAGGCAGCAAGCGUUGUUCGGAGUUACUGGGCGUAAAGGGUGUGUAGGCGGUUGUUUAAGUUUGGUGUGAAAUCUCCCGGCUCAACCGGGAGGGUGCGCCGAAUACUGAAUGACUUGGAGUGCGGGAGAGGAAAGUGGAAUUCCUGGUGUAGCGGUGAAAUGCGUAGAUAUCAGGAGGAACACCGGUGGCGAAGGCGGCGUUCUGGACUGCAUCUGACACUGAAAGACGAAAGCCAGGGGAGCAAACGGG